UAUUUUUUCAUUUGACAGAAAGAGCUGGAUAUUGAGGUGUAAACUCCCUUUGAGAGAAGCAGAGACAGGCUCACUGUAAGCAAUGGGUGACAAUCUCUACGCUUUUCUGAACAUGGGGUUUGAUAAAGGAAGAAGAGGAAACAUGAAGACAGUGAGAGCUUGUUAUAAAAGACUAAGUGAACCCUAAAGAGAGGGACUCAGUAAACAUUACCUAAAUUCAACGCUGAUUGGUUUUCAAGAGAUACAUUUUUCUUUCAACGUUCUUGUCUUCAAAGGCUAAUGGGAUCUGCUGCUCUGUUGGAAGCCAGAGUUAGGUCUUCGGGUCAGCCAUGGCUUCACUGAACUUGGCUCAAGAUUUCAGACCAGCUUCAGAUCUACUCUAUUUGGUUCAUUAUACUCCUUGAACCAGCAACCAACUAAGCCAUAUUCUUCUAAUUACACAUCGCAAGACCACAACAAGGAAGCAUGGCAUCCCUGUGGAAGAAGAUUUUGAAGUUUGUUGUAUAAUUCUGGAGGAGAAAACAGACUGAUUUGAUACAAAUUUCAGGAAGCUAUUUUAGUGUAGUAUAAAGAAGACAUUCUAACAAAUAAAGCUAUACAGCAAUGGAAAUAACUAGACUGUGAGGUAGUGGAUACUAAUCUCAGGAAAAUUCAAAAUUUAUAUGGUAACAUGCUGUACUUAAAGAAACCUUGACUAUGUAAUCUUAAGAAUUUUCCACCUAUAGAAUUACAUUUUUAUGUAACUCUAAUUUGAUAGUGUUAAGUAGUGCUUCAUCUAGUUCUGGCCUCAUGUGACACCUAUGGAAAAAAACGGAUUAGCUCUCUUACUUCAGAAUGCUCAG